UACAGAGGGGGCAAGCGUUGUUCGGAAUUACUGGGCGUAAAGGGCGCGUAGGCGGCCUUCUAAGUCGAACGUGAAAGCCCCGGGCUCAACCUGGGAAUGGCAUUUGGGACUGCAAGGCUGGAGUUUGGCAGAGGAGACUGGAAUUCCUGGUGUAGCAGUGAAAUGCGUAGAUAUCAGGAGGAAUACCGAUGGCGAAGGCAGGUCUCUGGGCUAUAACUGACGCUCAUGCACGAAAGCGUGGGGAGCAAACAGG
rnacentral:rRNA from 1 species